UACCAUGAUGAUCAACUCAAAUUAAUAACUUUCGUUCUACCGAUUUACAUCAAACGAUGUUGUGGAGAAAUUGAUUCACUGACC
rnacentral:snoRNA from 14 species